rnacentral:lncRNA from 1 species
GAAACAGUGUAGGGAAAAACGGGUUGGUUUCUUUCCACAUUAUGAUUGAUUUAAUUAGGAUAUACUGAGUUACGAAUACAAUUUUGGGACUUGACACUACAAAAGAAACGUGUAGGGAAAAACUCUUUCUCAAUUUCAUCCGGUUGUGAUGCCUUUUUUAUAUUUCUCUAUAAAUAUCUUUUAGAUAAAUUUCUACGCAUAACAAAAUAUUUUGGAUAUACAUUAAUCUCUACAACAAGCCUUCAAUUAUAUAUGAUCUGCAACACAAAUGAUCUGCAAUGUGAGCCUUGUCACAUCAUCAGUACUAGGUUUCUAAUUUAACUGGUUUUCCGUGGUCGGCAUGCAUGUGUCAAAUAACCCUAGCAUAAAACAAAAACCGCCACCCCUUCAGCGCUGCAUCUUGGUGGGGGAGGUGGUCUGUCCCUCCACCCCUCCCCUCCUCUUCCUCCGUCUUUCUCCUUAAAUCACACUUCUCUCCUUCUCGCCCUUUUUCUAAUAUGGUGGGAUGAAGACCGUGGGCAUGAUUUCUCCUAUCACCACCAUCUUUACCCUACAUGUCUUGCUCCAUACCGACUCAAAAUCGAUGGCUCAUCUGGAUUCUUUCAACAACCCCCCCCCCCCUCUCUGAUCUAGCCUCAUCCUUGGUUUGUAGCUGCAAAUUUUAAACGCUUUUUGGCUCGUAUUUAUUAGAAGGUGUGUAGAGCUCUAUCUCGGGUGCUUGCAUCACCUCCUUCCAGGUUCUUGGUUCUUUCCCCCUAGCAAUGGAAUGGGUUUCCUCGUUCUUUGUUUGCUGGCAGUUAUCUUUUGGAUGUAUUGGUUGGGUUAAUUCUGGAUAUGUUAGUGAAUCUCGGUUGGGCUAUGUUUUGAGGGAUGUUUGGCUUGGUUUGCUGACCGACGGGUGUUUGGUUCUCCACGGUGGUGAUUGGUGGUUUGUCUAUCUACAGUCUUGGAGUUUCUCUUUGGUUGUGGCAGCUAGGUUUUCUGUCUUUUAUUUUAUGUAUGUUAUGUUUAAUGCGGGCUUUAUGCUAAAUGUGGGUGUAAUGCCUCUUUGUGGGCUAUAUGCCUUUAUCUGGGUUGGCUUUUGACGUUUUAGUUUUUGGCUCGGGAACAUGAUCUUCAUGUUAUAUACUGUAUUGAUUUUGGCUAGAUUUGUUCAUGUUUG